GUCAACUUCAAGCAAGUUCGAACAAGAGAGGAAGACAACAUCAAAGUGUUUUAAUUUAAGCACAAAAGUGGUGCUCAAAAAAUGAAGUAGAUAAAUAAAAAGAGCAUGGGCAAGAUGCCAAAAUUACAUUUACGUUCAUGUCCAAAGCAUGGAAGAAUUUAAGUCAACAAUUUGAUGAUAUUAUCCCCAGUGGGUUUGCUAACAGCAGAAAAGAGAUGGUUCACAGGCCUUGGACUCCAUUCAAAGUUUUUCACUCCUUAACAUGCCUAAACUCCCUGGGAGUCUCGGCUAAGGGUGGCGGCUGAAAACAAAUGCAGAACAACACAGUGGAUGGAUUCCGGAGAGUUGAAGAUCACAGCAAAUAUUUCUCACAGCCUCAGCGAUGAAGAGAAUUUGAGGAGACGGGGACAAAGAAAGAGCGAAGAUAACGUAUUGAUGUAACUGUACAGACUGUCUCCCCCUGUGGCUGGCUACAGAGGGAAAGGGCAGUGUCUGGUCGGUGACAGGGGUGGGCUGAAUGUGCCGGCCCUGCAUUGACAGCUGGGGUGCUAGUGUCAUCCUCUGCAAGCCUCCACGUGACACAUCCAGACUAACGUUACAGCCACAGAGGAAAAACCAGAACCACAGCUACAGGAGCCACAG